AGACUAUAAUUGAUGAAUGGUA
rnacentral:siRNA from 1 species